AGCGAACGCUGGCGGCAGGCCUAACACAUGCAAGUCGAACGAACCUUUCGGGGUUAGUGGCGGACGGGUGAGUAACACGUGGGAACGUGCCUUUAGGUUCGGAAUAACUCAGGGAAACUUGUGCUAAUACCGAAUGUGCCCUUCGGGGGAAAGAUUAAUCGCCUUUGGAGCGGCCCGCGUCUGAUUAGCUAGUUGGUUGUGGUAAUGGCUGACCAAGGCGACGAUCAGUAGCUGGUCUGAGAGGAUGAUCAGCCACAUUGGGACUGAGACACGGCCCAAACUCCUACGGGAGGCAGCAGUGGGGAAUCUUGCGCAGUGGGCGAGAGCCUGACGCAGCCAUGCCGCGUGAAUGAUGAAGGUCUUAGGAUUGUAAAUUUCUUUCGCCGGGGACGAUAGUGACGGUACCCGGAGAAGAAGCCCCGGCUAACUUCGUG
rnacentral:rRNA from 1 species